GACGGGGGGGGCAAGUGUUCUUCGGAAUGACUGGGCGUAAAGGGCACGUAGGCGGUGAAUCGGGUUGAAAGUGAAAGUCGCCAAAAAGUGGCGGAAUGCUCUCGAAACCAAUUCACUUGAGUGAGACAGAGGAGAGUGGAAGUUUCGUGUGUAGGGGUGAAAUCCGUAAAUAUACGAAGGAACGCCAAAAGCGAAGGCAGCUCUCUGGGUCCCUACCGAGGCUGGGGUGCGAAAGCAUGGGGAGCGAACAGG
rnacentral:rRNA from 1 species